rnacentral:rRNA from 1 species
AAUGAACGCUGGCGGCGCGCCUAAUACAUGCAAGUCGAGCGAGAAGACGUAGCAAUACGUUUGUAAAGCGGCGAACGGGUGAGGAAUACAUGGGUAACCUACCCUCGAGUGGGGAAUAACUAGCCGAAAGGUUAGCUAAUACCGCGUACGCUUCUUGGACUUCGGUUCAGGGAGGAAAGCGAUGCCGAGGGUAUCGCGCUCUUGGAUGGGCUCAUGUCCUAUCAGCUUGUUGGGAGGUAACGGCUCACCAAGGCUUCGACGGGUAGCUGGUCUGAGAGGACGAUCAGCCACACUGGCACUGCGACACGGGCCAGACUCCUACGGGAGGCAGCAGUAAGGAAUAUUGCGCAAUGGGCGAAAGCCUGACGCAGCGACG